AGUGCGAGGGCAUAGAGCCCUCGCUUUUGUACACCGUAAGGUGGUGUACGAAUAAGAGCUGGGCAAGACCGGUGCCAGCCGCCGCGGUAAUACCGGCAGCUCGAGUGAUGGCCGAUCUUAUUGGGCCUAAAGCGUCCGUAGCUGGCCAGGCAAGUCCGUUGGGAAAUCUGCUCGCUUAACGAGCAGGCGUCCAGCGGAAACCGCUUGGCUUGGGACCGGAGGACCUGAGGGGUACGUCCGGGGUAGGAGUGAAAUCCUGUAAUCCUGGACGGACCACCGGUGGCGAAAGCGCCUCAGGAGGACGGAUCCGACAGUGAGGGACGAAAGCUAGGGUCUCGAACCGGAUUAGAUACCCGGGUAGUCCUAGCUGUAAACGAUGCUCGCUAGGUGUGGCGCAGGCUACGAGCCUGCGCUGUGCCGUAGGGAAGCCGAGAAGCGAGCCGCCUGGGAAGUACGUCUGCAAGGAUGAAACUUAAAGGAAUCGGCGGGGGAGCACUACAACCGGAGGAGCCUGCGGUUUAAUUGGACUCAACGCCGGACAUCUCACCGGCUCCGACAGUAGUAAUGACGGUCAGGUUGAUGACCUUACCCGACGCUACUGAGAGGAGGUGCAUGGCCGCCGUCAGCUCGUACCGUGAGGCGUCCUGUUAAGUCAGGCAACGAGCGAGACCCGCACCCCUAAUUGCCAGCAGUACCCUUUGGGUAGCUGGGUACAUUAGGGGGACUGCCGCUGCCAAAGCGGAGGAAGGAACGGGCAACGGUAGGUCAGUAUGCCCCGAAUGAGCCGGGCAACACGCGGGCUACAAUGAUUGAGACAAUGGGAAGCCACUCCG
rnacentral:rRNA from 1 species